rnacentral:lncRNA from 1 species
UGAAAAACUGAACAGCAGAAACCAGCGUGCCAGAGGCUAAGGAUGGAGGGAAUGAAGCAUGGACUGUGUGACUCUACCAGGAGCGACCCCUUGGAAGCUUGUAUUUGAAAAACAAGAAGAUACGUCACUGAAGGAGUACCUCUAAUACCAAGCUGGCUGCGGAGCACACUUGCAUUCUUGCACUUGACACACCAUAUGGUGAGUAUUGAUUUUCUUGUCUAUCUCCUCACUCAGAAUUAAGCCAAUUGAGAGCAGGAAAUCUAUCAUAUUCUUUUUUGUAUUACUAGCACCCAUGCAGAGAUUUGCAAAGCUUAAUAAACAUGUGUUGCUCACAGAGGGUAGAAAAUAGAAGAUGUUUAUUAAGAAAAUAAUUACUACACAUUUGUUGAAUAAAGGGGGCAUGCACUGUGGAGUGUGACCAUUUUUCCUGCAGAUGUUUGUAUGACAUCAGCCUUUCCCAUCUAUAGGAUGCUGCAGCUGGGGUUGGGGAGGGGAAGAUAGCUCCGUUCUGAAGAGAAGAGUUCACUCGAGGGCUAUGAUUUCUGAGACCUGCUCUGUAGCCUUAUUUAUUCUUCCUAUUUAUCCUAAAUAGGAAUCUGGUUGUGUGUAAAACAGAGAAUUGACAUCAACCUGAAGCACAUGGAACAAGAGCAAAGGACUGAAUAAUAUACAAAAAAGACAGGUGUUUCAGCAAAGCAACUGACCAGCAUUCCUUCCUGAUAAGAAACCGCCAUCCAUGGAGUGGUUCUGGCCAGUCUAUGGAGAAUGUAGUGAAGGUUUUCAUGUCUUCUGCUUCACUUUUUGACAUUAGAAGGCCAAAAUCUCCACCUUGGAUUAUGCUAACACCUCCAUUUAUUGAACAAGGGUCAUGUCCCUUGUCCCAUGAACAAGGACAAAAAGCAUGAAGUUCAACUGUGCAUGUGCAUGUUUCUCCUUUCAUAAAUAUUCAUGACUGUUCCCAUAGCUUAUUGAAUAUGUAUAUCUGGCCACCCCAUUCAGCAUAAAUUCCUGCCUUACUCUUCAAGUGUCAUUCCAGGAUUCUGACCGGAGGGAGGCGACACUUCCCAGCCUGUCAGAAUGGCCACCCUGCAGGCUGCAACUCUUUAUGGGAAAUAAAGCUCUCCUUUCCAAAU